AACGCAGAAAGGGGAAAAAGGGGAUUAGGGUUUAGGAAGCAGCGACAACAAUGGAUUUCACAGCGGAGAAGAAGGAAUCAGAGAGCAAAACCGAAAAUGCUCAUCCAACAACGUUAGAUUCUUCUUCUCAAUUGGCAUCGGCACUUGAUUCCAACAACAAAGAAAUCGAAGAACGACAAGCUCGUGAACUCAAAGCCGGUCUUCACCCCCUCAAGGGGAGGAAAGGGUAAGGGCCAGGGUGGCUCUGGAGCAAAUGGGACUAUAACUGGGAAGGCUUGCCCCAAAGGGUUGUACGGUACCUUUUGUGAGUAGUACACUCUGUUUUGAAGUAUUAACUCCGUAAAGCUAGUGGAGCAAUUAGAGACAUCUAAAGAAGCAAAAGCUGGAGGAGCUAACUCAUUUCACGACUCUAAGGAGGUUUUCCUCUCCUGUCACUUCAAUCUUCAGAGCGCCGACACAAUUGAAGCCAGAUGUACGCUCCACAGCUUCAAGAGCUACACGAAGCUCGAUGCUGUCGAAAAUGACGAUAUCUCUUCCACCGGCGCCUUCAAUCCUGAUAGAGUUGGAUUUUUAUUUGUUUGUGAAGUUGAAGAUAGUGGAAAGCAGGAAUCUCUGGAGGCAUUGACCUCACAGGUAAAUAAAUUGGCUCACUUUGCAAGAUUCGCCCCAAGCUCAAGAUAUUGAUAAAAGAAUUCGUGCUCUCAAAAAGAAGAUAAGUGACAUGGUUGCUAUUGCAAAAAUUAUGAAAGCCACUUUGGUUUUGCCUACAUUGGAUCAUGAUUCCUUUUGGACAGAUUCUAGGUUGAUAAAAGUCUGAUCACAGCGGGAUAAAAGUCAUUGAAAAGCAGAAGAAGGUUGUUGUAACUUUUCAAAGGUCAUGUUGCAGCAGAUUUCUAACUUUGUGCAGCAUAGCAUAAUAAUAAGUUCAUGUAUAUUUAAUUAAAAAUUAUAAUCAGCAAAGAGUGUAAUUAGAAACUAGUUUUAUUAUUAUUAUAUGACAUGUACCUACAGAAGACUGUAAGUACAAGUAAAUUGACUUUUACCUAUAGUUAGAGAUUAUAGGUAUAAAUUAAUUUCUUUUACCUACA